rnacentral:rRNA from 1 species
UACGUAGGGGGCUAGCGUUGUCCGGAUUUAUUGGGCGUAAAGAGCGUGUAGGCGGCCAGGUAGGUCUGCUGUGAAAACUCGAGGCUCAACCUCGAGACGUCGGCGGAAACCAUCUGGCUAGAGUCCGGAAGAGGAGAGUGGAAUUCCUGGUGUAGCGGUGAAAUGCGUAGAGAUCAGGAAGAACACCGGUGGCGAAAGCGCUCUGCUGGACCUUAACUGACACUGAGGGACGAAAGCUAGGGGAGCGAAUGGG